AUGAAUGCGUCGAAAAGAAAUAGUAGGUUUAGGGAACAUGACAGAGAGUCUUUCAUUGGUGGAAGAAAGAUAUGCAUAACUAUUCACGAACACAUCUUGGAGCAGUUUCAGGGAACUUCAGUAGCUGAAAUCGGAAAUGACCCUGCACCCGUUAUCGUGCUAGAGUAUGUUGGUACUCGAAGAGGUUGGUGCUGUGAGGCAUCAAUGAACUAAGGUGGAAACACGUAAGGUAACUUUCGUCCUUUGG
rnacentral:ncRNA from 1 species